rnacentral:rRNA from 1 species
UACGGAGGGUGCAAGCGUUAUCCGGAUUCACUGGGUUUAAAGGGUGCGUAGGAGGGCAGGUAAGUCAGUGGUGAAAUCUCCAAGCUUAACUUGGAACUGCCGUUGAUACUAUCUGUCUUGAAUACCUGGAGGUGAGCGGAAUAUGUCAUGUAGCGGUGAAAUGCUUAGAUAUGAACAUAGUAACACCAAUUGCGAAAGGC